rnacentral:rRNA from 1 species
UACGAGGGGGGCGAGCGUUGUUCGGAAUUAUUGGGCGUAAAGGGUGCGUAGGCGGUGUGUCGCGUCGGCCGUGAAAACCUGGGGCUCAACUCUGGGCGUGCGGUCGAUACGGGCAUCACUUGAGUUCGGCAGGGGAGACUGGAAUUCCUGGUGUAGCGGUGGAAUGCGUAGAGAUCCGGAAGAACACCGGUGGCGAAGGCGGUCUGCUGGGCAGUUGCUGACACUGAGGCGCGACAGCGUGGGGAGCA